rnacentral:lncRNA from 1 species
AUGUGUGGGCUUCUUUCUUUCUACUUUCCUGUUUUCCAGAAGUUCUUCCUUCUCCUCCCUUUUCUUUCCCAGCCCUGCUUCUUUCNNNNNUCCCUCUUUUUCUUCUUUCCUCUCUUCUUUCUCCUUUGUUUCCCUUAUCCUUACAUUUUAUUGAGCAUCCCUUCUAUAUUUAGACCAUUUUCCAAGUAUGCAAAACCACUGAUAAGCAAAAUAGGUACCAACUCCAAAUCUGACGUAGCAGUGUGAGGACUGAAUCGGAGAGGAAGACAUUGGAGGUGGCUGAUGGAGCGGGAAAUGGUUACACUUUUUCUGAGUGUGAUCUCAGCUUCCUCCAUUUCCUUCAGGCUUCAUCUCAGAAAGGAAUUCUAUAACUGCCAGUCUUCCUUGCUGUGUUAUCUUGCUCUAAAUCACUCCCUUUGGCCUUAAAUGGUAUUUAUCCAUAUCUGAUAUCAUAAAAGAAUUUAUAUAUCAUUUGUCUGCUUGUUUGUUAUUUUUCUUCCUUUUUUAGAAUAUAAGUAUGAGAUUAGGGGUUUUGGUUAUCUUUUGUACUUUUAUAAAAAGAUGUUUAUUAUGUUCUAAUAACAGUCAUCAGUCCAGCCCCUCCCAGCAUGGAAACCGCCUACAGUUUGGAGUCAAGUCUGGUUCAGUUGUGGCUCUGCCAUUUCCCACCUAUGUGACUGUGGCAAAUUAUUUCACUCCUCGAACCCCUCAAGAUUAUUACUAAAGUUGGACCCUAGUUUGCUCUUUCUUUUUCUUUGUUUCUUUGGAAUUAGUAUCCUAAUGAUGGCUUUUGUUAAAAUAAUCCUGCCAUUUCUUUCUUUCUUUUUUGUUUUUUAAUCCUGCCAUUUCUUUAAGUGGCAUAGAUUGUCUUGUGCUCUUAGAAACUAAAGCACAAAAUCUACAGAACUGGGGGGCUCUCUUUCACCGACAUCAAUUAUGAAUACCUUGUUAAUACUUUGCACUUGCACUUUAUUCAUCUAUUAGUUGUUCAAGUUCAUCUUUGUUCUUCUCGGCCUUGCAGGCAUUUGCAGCUUCGCUGCCAGCUACCAGUGGCUCUUCUCAGCAGCCUUUUUAGUGUUUCUGAGCUACUUGUAAAAAAUUAUUAUUUUUAUAGUUGUAAAAUACACAUAACUCAAGAUUUACACUUGAACCCAUUUUUUUUAAUUUUUAAGUCUUUUUUUAGAUUUUCAUAUUUAAUUGGUACAUAUUAGGUAUACAAUAUAAUGACAUUCAUCAUUGAAAAUUUGCACCUUUACACAAUCUCUCUUGGUUCUUAUUUUUUCCCCAUUCCCUGUCCUCCCUUCAACCCCUCCAUCCCUCCCUAUUUACAAAGACUUUGUUUCCAUUUUUUCCAUUUCUCAUCAUUUUUCCUUUCCCUUCUUUCCUUUCCCCUGCCCCUGCCCCUCCCACAC